UCACGCAAGUCACGCUGGGGGAGGGCCAGAGUGCCCAGUCAGGGUGCUCGGCCAGCGCCUCUGGGCCUUCGGGGUUUCCACCGACCCCCCACACUGCGCAUGUUGGGUUCAAGUGACACCAGGACACCCUCCUUGGAUGCCCCCACCCCUGCAGGCCUAGCUGCCCUCCCUGUCCUCAGACAUUCCAGCGCUGGGCACACAUGGCACUGAAUGCUCUCACCCCAUCUGUCCCCUCCACCAGACUGAGAUCAGCGCCUGGCAGGGAGACGGUGGUGGAUUGGACACGGAGGUGACAAGAGGAGAGGCAUCAAGGGUGACCCUGGAUUUCUGGCUUGAGUCCCUGGGCGAUGCCGUUUACUGAGAUGCCAGAUAUGUGAGUGAAGAAGCCUCCAGAUGCUUCCAGCUCCCAGUUGUUCAAAGUGAAUUUCUCCCCUAGCCAUUCUGGUCUUCUCAGCUGAGACCCCAGACAUCGUGGAGCAGACACAAGCCACCUCAGCUGGGUUCUGUCUGAAUUACUGAACACGAAUUUAUAAUAAGUGUUUGUUGUUUUACACCAAGUUUGGUGGGGAGGCAGCACGAGUACCUAGAACAUGCAUCAAACUGACGACCAAGCUCCAAGAUUCCACCUGCCAGCAUCACCUGCAUCCUUCGUCUCCAUCCCCCCUGUGACUGCCUCAUUUAACACUUGUCAUCUCUCACUUCAUCGCCCAGCUGGCUUCCCUGUGUUCAGGUCACUUUAUCUUUCCUGCAGCAGCCAGAAUGACUUUGCUAAGACACGAUGACAUCCGACAUCAUUCCCCUUCUUCAAAGGCUCCUCAUUGCUCAUAGAAUAAGGUAAAAGCUCCUUAACGGGAUGUUCGUUCUGGUCCUGGUUCACCUCUCAAGCUUUAUCUCUUGUCACUCUGCAUUUCACUGCAAAUAGGUGUUUCCAUUCUCUGGUUAUACCAGGCUCUCUACACUUCCGGGCUGCCCUGCUCGCUCUGCCCGCCUGGAUGCGGAACAUGUUCCAUCUGCCCUUUCAGAUCUCUGUCCAUCAUCUCCAUCUGCUCCGUGCCCGGGAGGCUGAAGCUUUUGUCAGCUGCAUGCGUGGGUGCCUUGCUCUCUGGCUGUCUGUGGGUCUGCUGAUCGGAAGCCCAGCGGGAAAUGGGAAAUGGGGUGGGGCAGGAGAAGUGUGAGGCUGGGGUAUCUAUUCAACAGCGGCCUCCCUUCCAGACCCUGGGAGGCCGCCGCUCCUGUCAGCCUGUUCCUACAGCUGGGCUCUCUUCCUCUGGGUUCUGGCAACCUUUCCUCCCCUCGCCCCUUCAGGCUUAAGGAUGGCGGAGACUCCCCAUUGCUUCUAGCCCCAGAGUGCUUUGCAGCCCUUGCUGGUUUCUGUCUCCCUGUAAAUCACCUCUCGAUCAAACUCUCUUUGCUUAGUCCUCUGAAUGUUCUGUCUGUUGGGACCCUAACCGAUACUCUCCGUCAUCCUCCAAACCUCAGCCGUGCCUUCCCAACUCUAUUGAGUCUUCCCUCACCAGUUCCCACCAGGGCUCUGGACAGACUCCCAAUCUCGGCCCCAGAACUCUCUAUUGCCUGUAUUGUUGUCCUGUGUGUCUUCUCUCUCUAGUGGGAACUUGCCUUUGUAGCUCAGGCUUUGGCACCUUGCAAAGUAUCUGGCACUUAGUAGGUGCUGAGUCAAUGUUUGCUGCAUGAUUGAUGGUUGAAUUCAUAAAAAAAAGCUCUCCAUGGACGGCAGUGAGAUCCACAGACCAGCGACUCUUUGUUUAUACUGGGCAUAAAAGGAGGACAUGUUGUUUUUCACAUGGGAAACCAUAGCUAAGAACCUACUAGGGAGUCAUCAAAUUAAGAUAUUCUGAAAAAAAAAGAUUUUCUGAGGAGCAGGUUGUCCAAUGAAUGGGAGACCACCUGAGGUUGGAUAAGGUUAAAUGGACUCAUGUAAAUCACUCCCAUGAAAACUGAUGUGAAGAGCGAGGUCCAUGGGUGAUCAGUAAUAUUUCAGUGGCAUUUGAAGUCCCUGGCUGCAAACCACGGAAAUGGCUCUGAGUGAUGGCAAGACCAACGGGCUCACAAUUACUUCCUUAGAAUGGACAGUUAGCAUCUGCUCUGAGUUUUUGUUCUUUUAAAGUCAAGUUUAUAGAGGUAUAAUUUAUGUACAGUAAAAUUCACCCCUUGCAGGUGGUUAUAUGAACUUUGAUGAACAUAUACAGUCAUGGAACCACCACCACAAUCGAACACAAUGUUUUCAUCAUCUCCCAAACUUCCUCCUAUCCUUUGGUAGUCAACCCCCUUAUCCUGCUUCUGGUCCAUGGCAACCACGGAUCUGUCCCAAAGUUAUGCCUUUUCCAGAAUGUCGUAUAAAUGAUAUAAUACAGUUGCCUUUUGUGUCUGGCACUAUGCUUUUGAGACAAUUCACGUUAUUCCUGCAUGAAUCAGUAGCUCAUUUUUUUUGCUGAGUACUAGUCUCUGUGUGUGGAGGAGCCACAAUCUGUAUAUUCACCAGAUGAUGGACAUUUGGGUUAUUUCCAGUUUGAGGUGAUUAUGAAUGAAAUUGUUAUAAGCAUUACACAGA